CAGCCGCCGCGGUAAUACGAAGGGGGCUAGCGUUGCUCGGAAUCACUGGGCGUAAAGGGUGCGUAGGCGGGUCUUUAAGUCAGGGGUGAAAUCCUGGAGCUCAACUCCAGAACUGCCUUUGAUACUGAAGAUCUUGAGUUCGGGAGAGGUGAGUGGAACUGCGAGUGUAGAGGUGAAAUUCGUAGAUAUUCGCAAGAACACCAGUGGCGAAGGCGGCUCACUGGCCCGAUACUGACGCUGAGGCACGAAAGCGUGGGGAGCAAACAGGAUUAGAUACCCCGGUAGUCCCUGUCUCUUAUAC
rnacentral:rRNA from 1 species